UCCAGACAGAAGGAUCGGGGCAUAAUAAUAGGAUGAAUUCAGAGAGUAUGCAUGGUAGAGAUGCUGGUCCUCAUGGAGAUCUUGCAAAUUCCAUUCAGCAUAAAGAAGACAACUCAGCAGCACAUGGUUCCAGGAAUCAAAAUGAUGCUGGGGCUGCUCCAUUAAUUAUCAUCAGAAAAAGUUAAAGCCGCUGCUAAAGUUGGCCUUGCUGCUGCAGUAACAAAAGCAAAACUAUUUGCUGAUCAUGAAGAACGUGAAAUUCAGAGACUAUCUGCUAAUAUUAUAAACCAUCAGGUAUA